rnacentral:rRNA from 1 species
GUAGGUGGCAAGCGUUGUCCGGAAUUAUUGGGCGUAAGGCGCGCGCAGGCGGUCCUUUAAGUCUGAUGUGAAAGCCCACGGCUCAACCGUGGAGGGUCAUUGGAAACUGGGGGACUUGAGUACAGAAGAGGAAAGCGGAAUUCCAAGUGUAGCGGUGAAAUGCGUAGAGAUUUGGAGGAACACCAGUGGCGAAGGCGGCUUUCUGGUCUGUAACUGACGCUGAGGCGCGAAAGCGUGGGGAGCAAACAGGGAUUAGAUACCCUGGUAGUCCACGCCGUAAACGAUGAGUGCUAAGUGUUAGGGGGUUUCCCGCCCCCUUAGUGCUGCAGCUAACGCAUUAAGCACUCCGCCUGGGGAGUACGGCCGCAAGGCUG